rnacentral:rRNA from 1 species
GACGAACGCUGGCGGCGUGCCUAACACAUGCAAGUCGAACGGAUGGUUUCGGCCAUCAGUGGCGCACGGGUGAGUAACGCGUGGGAAUCUGCCCAGCAGUGGGGGAUAACCUCUGGAAACGGAGGCUAAUACCGCAUACGCCCCUCGGGGGAAAGGCUUGCUGCUGCUGGAGGAGCCCGCGUCGGAUUAGGUAGUUGGUGGGGUAACGGCCUACCAAGCCUGUGAUCCGUAGCUGGUCUGAGAGGAUGAUCAGCCACACUGGGACUGAGACACGGCCCAGACUCCUACGGGAGGCAGCAGUGGGGAAUUUUGCGCAAUGGGGGAAACCCUGACGCAGCGACGCCGCGUGGAGGAUGAAGGCCUUCGGGUCGUAAACUCCUGUCAGAGGUGAAGAAUGCCGCAAGGGUUUGACGGUAACCUCAGAGGAAGCCCCGGCUAACUACGUGCCAGCAGCCGCGGUAAACAUAACUCGUA